rnacentral:tRNA from 1 species
GCUCGAGUGGUGGAAUGGUAGACACGCGGGACUUAAAAUCCCGUGACCAUUGCGGUCGUGCGGGUUCAAGUCCCGCCUCGAGUA